rnacentral:tRNA from 1 species
UCCUGGGUGGCGGAAUGGCAAACGCACCUGACUGUUAAUCAGGCGCCGCAAGGUUUGCAGGUUCGAGUCCUGCCCCAGGAGCCA